UACGUAGGGACCAAGCGUUGUUCGGAUUUACUGGGCGUAAAGGGCGCGUAGGCGGCAAUUCAAGUCAGCUGUGAAAUCUCCGGGCUUAACUCGGAACGGUCAGCUGAUACUGCUUUGCUAGAGUGCAGAAGGGGCAAUCGGAAUUCUUGGUGUAGCGGUGAAAUGCGUAGAUAUCAAGAGGAACACCUGAGGUGAAGACGGGUUGCUGGGCUGACACUGACGUGAGGCGCGAAAGCUAGGGUAGCAAACGGG
rnacentral:rRNA from 1 species